UUCUUGUACGCUGAGAUAGAUCUGACUCGUAGUCGUAACAAGGUAACCGCAAGAGUUGGAACGAGGAGUGGCGGACGGGUGAGUAACACGUGGGUAACCUACCCAUCAGAGGGGGAUAACACUUGGAAACAGGUGCUAAUACCGCAUAACAGUUUAUGCCGCAUGGCAUAAGAGUGAAAGGCGCUUUCGGGUGUCGCUGAUGGAUGGACCCGCGGUGCAUUAGCUAGUUGGUGAGGUAACGGCUCACCAAGGCCACGAUGCAUAGCCGACCUGAGAGGGUGAUCGGCCACACUGGGACUGAGACACGGCCCAGACUCCUACGGGAGGCAGCAGUAGGGAAUCUUCGGCAAUGGACGAAAGUCUGACCGAGCAACGCCGCGUGAGUGAAGAAGGUUUUCGGAUCGUAAAACUCUGUUGUUAGAGAAGAACAAGGACGUUAGUAACUGAACGUCCCCUGACGGUAUCUAACCAGAAAGCCACGGCUAACUACGUGCCAGCAGCCGCGGUAAUACGUAGGUGGCAAGCGUUGUCCGGAUUUAUUGGGCGUAAAGCGAGCGCAGGCGGUUUCUUAAGUCUGAUGUGAAAGCCCCCGGCUCAACCGGGGAGGGUCAUUGGAAACUGGGAGACUUGAGUGCAGAAGAGGAGAGUGGAAUUCCAUGUGUAGCGGUGAAAUGCGUAGAUAUAUGGAGGAACACCAGUGGCGAAGGCGGCUCUCUGGUCUGUAACUGACGCUGAGGCUCGAAAGCGUGGGGAGCAAACAGGAUUAGAUACCCUGGUAGUCCACGCCGUAAACGAUGAGUGCUAAGUGUUGGAGGGUUUCCGCCCUUCAGUGCUGCAGCAAACGCAUUAAGCACUCCGCCUGGGGAGUACGACCGCAGGGUUGAAACUCAAAGGAAUUGACGGGGGCCCGCACAAGCGGUGGAGCAUGUGGUUAAUUCGAAGCAACGCGAAGAACCUUACCAGUCUUGACCAUCCUUUGAACACUUCUAGAGAUAGAGCUUCCCCUUUCGGGACAAAGUGACAGGUAGGUGCCAUGCUUUCGUCAGCUCCAUGUCUGAAAAUGUUUGGUUAAGUCCCGCACGACGCACCCUAUUGCUUAGUUGCCAUCAAUUAAUGGACACUUACAGACUGGCUGGUACAACCGAGAGUGGGAAUAACCUCAAUCCAUCAAGCUGC
rnacentral:rRNA from 1 species